GUACGUUCUUAGAUGUCCUGUGAUCUUCUUAUUGUGAGCAUUAUAAUGCUAUCUGUUUGCCCUGUUCCUGCAUUCUACUGACCUAUAGCCUGUUUUUUGCACUGAACCUUGGUCACCUGAACUGACUCUUUAUUGGGGCUGACAUUGCUUUUUGAAUAACCCUUAGAUUUGACACUAAUUCAUUGUUUAGGGAACCAAGCCUGUGUGGUAGAUUCCAACUCUUUCUGCAACAUACAUACUGAGCCUACAUAACCCAAAUGUAACAGCUAAUGUGGCAAAAGAAAGGUUAUUCCACCAGAAAAGGUAUAGACCUUGCAAUUAUUCAGUCUUUGUCAAGCCAGG